UGGGGAAUUUUGGACAAUGGGGGCAACCCUGAUCCAGCAAUGCCGCGGGUGUGAAGAAGGCCUUCGGGUUGUAAAGCACUUUUGUCCGGAAAGAAAACUUCGGGGCUAAUACCCCUGGAGGAUGACGGUACCGGAAGAAUAAGCACCGGCUAACUACGUGCCAGCAGCCGCGGUAAUACGUAGGGUGCGAGCGUUAAUCGGAAUUACUGGGCGUAAGGCGUGCGCAGGCGGUGCUGUAAGACCGAUGUGAAAUCCCCGGGCUUAACCUGGGAACUGCAUUGGUGACUGCAGCGCUGGAGUAUGGCAGAGGGGGGUGGAAUUCCACGUGUAGCAGUGAAAUGCGUAGAGAUGUGGAGGAACACCGAUGGCGAAGGCAGCCCCCUGGGCCAAUACUGACGCUCAUGCACGAAAGCGUGGGGAGCAAACAGG
rnacentral:rRNA from 1 species